rnacentral:rRNA from 1 species
AGAGUUUGAUCCUGGCUCAGAAUGAACGCUGGCGGCGCGCCUAACACAUGCAAGUCGAGCGAGGCCGCGGGGCAACCCGCGAGUCGAGCGGCGAACGGGUGAGUAACGCGUGGGUAACCUACCCUGGAGUGGGGGAUAGCUCCGCGAAAGUGGGGGUAAUACCGCAUAUGCGCGUCGGGUCAUAAGGCCUGACGUGCAAAGGCUGGGAUCUUCGGACCAGUCGCUCCUGGAUGGGCCCGCGUUCGAUUAGCUUGUUGGUAGGGUAACGGCCUACCAAGGCUACGAUCGAUAGCCGGCCUGAGAGGGUGAUCGGCCACAUUGGGACUGAGACACGGCCCAGACUCCUACGGGAGGCAGCAGUGGGGAAUAUUGGGCAAUGGGCGCAAGCCUGACCCAGCGACGCCGCGUGGGGGAUGAAGGCCUUCGGGUUGUAAACCCCUGUCAGGGGAGACGAAAGUCCUGCGCCGAACAGGCGCAGGAUCUGACGGUACCCCCAAAGGAAGCCCCGGGCUAACUCCGUGCCAGCAGCCGCGGUAAUACGGAGGGGGCGAGCGUUAUUCGGAAUUACUGGGCGUAAAGCGCGCGCAGGUGGCGUGGUAAGUGGUUGGUGAAAGCCCUCGGCUCAACCGAGGAAUUGCCUGCCAAACUACUGCGCUUGAGGCCGGGAGGGGAGAGCGGAAUUUCCUGGUGUAGCGGUGAAAUGCGUAGAUACCAGGAGGAACACCGGUGGCGAAAGGCGGCUCUCUGGACCGGUUCUGACGCUCAUGCGCGAAAGCGUGGGGAGCAAACAGGAUUAGAUA